rnacentral:rRNA from 1 species
GAUGAACGCUGGCGGCGUGCUUAACACAUGCAAGUCGAACGGAAAGGCUCCUGCUUGCAGGGGUACUCGAGUGGCGAACGGGUGAGUAACACGUGGGUGAUCUGCCCUGCACUUCGGGAUAAGCCUGGGAAACUGGGUCUAAUACCGGAUAGGACGAUGGUUUGGAUGCCAUUGUGGAAAGUUUUUCGGUGUGGGAUGAGCUCGCGGCCUAUCAGAUUGUUGGUGGGGUAAUGGCCUACCAAGGCGUCGACGGGUAGCCGGCCUGAGAGGGUGUACGGCCACAUUGGGACUGAGAUACGGCCCAGACUCCUACGGGAGGCAGCAGUGGGGAAGAUUGCACAAUGGGCGCAAGCCUGAUGCAGCGACGCCGCGUGGGGGAUGACGGCCUUCGGGUUGUAAACUCCUUUCGCUAGGGACGAAGCGUUUUGUGACGGUACCUGGAGAAGAAGCACCGGCUAACUACGUG